UGGGGAAUUUUGCACAAUGGGGGAAACCCUGAUGCAGCGACGCCGCGUGAUUUAGAAGGCCUUCGGGUUGUAAAAAUCUUUUCUAUGGGAAGAAAAUGACAGUACCAUAGGAAUAAGGACCGGCUAAUUACGUGCAAGCAGCCGCGGUAAUACGUAAGGUCCGAGCGUUGUCCGGAAUCAUUGGGCGUAAAGGGUACGUAGGCGGGUAAGCAAGUUAGAAGUGAAAUCCUAUAGCUCAACUAUAGUAAGCUUUUAAAACUGCUCAUCUUGAGGUAUGGAAGGGAAAGUGUAAUUCCUAGUGUAGCGGUGAAAUGCGCAGAUAUUAGGAGGAAUACCGGUGGCGAAGGCGACUUUCUGGCCAUAACCUGACGCUGAGGUACGAAAGCGUGGGUAGCAAACAGG
rnacentral:rRNA from 1 species